CAGUAGCCACGGUAAUACGGAGGGCGCGAGCGUUACCCGGAUUUACUGGGCGUAAAGGGCGUGUAGGCGGCCUGGGGCGUCCCAUGUGAAAGGCCACGGCUCAACCGUGGAGGAGCGUGGGAUACGCUCAGGCUAGAGGGUGGGAGAGGGUGGUGGAAUUCCCGGAGUAGCGGUGAAAUGCGCAGAUACCGGGAGGAACGCCGAUGGCGAAGGCAGCCACCUGGUCCACUUCUGACGCUGAGGCGCGAAAGCGUGGGGAGCAAACCGGAUUAGAUACCCCAGUAGUCCCUGUCUCUUAUAC
rnacentral:rRNA from 1 species